UACGAAGGGGGCUAGCGUUGUUCGGAAUUAUUGGGCGUAAAGGGCUCGUAGGCGGUUUGUCACGUCGGGAGUGAAAACUCAGGGCUCAACCCUGAGCGUGCUUCCGAUACGGGCAGACUAGAGGUAUGCAGGGGAGAACGGAAUUCCUGGUGUAGCGGUGGAAUGCGCAGAUAUCAGGAGGAACACCGGUGGCGAAGGCGGUUCUCUGGGCAUUACCUGACGCUGAGGAGCGAAAGCAUGGGGAGCGAACAGG
rnacentral:rRNA from 1 species